UACAGAGGGUGCUAGCGUUGUUCGGAAUCAUUGGGCGUAAAGGGCGUGUAGGCGGUUUGUUAAGUCAUGUGUGAAAUCCCUCGGCUCAACCGGGGAACGACGCAUGAAACUGGCAAGCUAGAGUACCAAAGAGGGGGUGGAAUUCCCGGUGUAGCGGUGAAAUGCGCAGAUAAUCAGGAGGAACACCGGUGGCGAAGGCGGGUCGCUGGGC
rnacentral:rRNA from 1 species